rnacentral:rRNA from 1 species
GUUAUAUGGUCAAGUGAAGAAGCGCAUACGGUGGAUGCCUUGGCAGUCAGAGGCGAUGAAAGACGUGGUAGCCUGCGAAAAGCUUCGGGGAGUCGGCAAACAGACUUUGAUCCGGAGAUCUCUGAAUGGGGGAACCCACCUAGGAUAACCUAGGUAUCUUGUACUGAAUCCAUAGGUGCAAGAGGCGAACCAGGGGAACUGAAACAUCUAAGUACCCUGAGGAAAAGAAAUCAACCGAGAUUCCCUUAGUAGUGGCGAGCGAACGGGGAUUAGCCCUUAAGCUUCAUUGAUUUUAGCGGAACGCUCUGGAAAGUGCGGCCAUAGUGGGUGAUAGCCCCGUACGCGAAAGGAUCUUUGAAGUGAAAUCGAGUAGGACGGAGCACGAGAAACUUUGUCUGAACAUGGGGGGACCAUCCUCCAAGGCUAAAUACUACUGACUGACCGAUAGUGAACCAGUACCGUGAGGGAAAGGCGAAAAGAACCCCGGAGAGGGGAGUGAAAUAGAACCUGAAACCGUAUGCGUACAAGCAGUGGGAGCCUACUUGUUAGGUGACUGCGUACCUUUUGUAUAAUGGGUCAGCGACUUAUAUUCAGUGGCAAGCUUAACCGUAUAGGGUAGGCGUAGCGAAAGCGAGUCUUAAUAGGGCGUUUAGUCGCUGGGUAUAGACCCGAAACCGGGCGAUCUAUCCAUGAGCAGGUUGAAGGUUAGGUAACACUGACUGGAGGACCGAACCCACUCCCGUUGAAAAGGUAGGGGAUGACUUGUGGAUCGGAGUGAAAGGCUAAUCAAGCUCGGAGAUAGCUGGUUCUCCUCGAAAGCUAUUUAGGUAGCGCCUCAUGUAUCACUCUGGGGGGUAGAGCACUGUUUCGGCUAGGGGGUCAUCCCGACUUACCAAACCGAUGCAAACUCCGAAUACCCAGAAGUGCCGAGCAUGGGAGACACACGGCGGGUGCUAACGUCCGUCGUGAAAAGGGAAACAACCCAGACCGCCAGCUAAGGUCCCAAAGUUGUGGUUAAGUGGUAAACGAUGUGGGAAGGCUUAGACAGCUAGGAGGUUGGCUUAGAAGCAGCCAUCCUUUAAAGAAAGCGUAAUAGCUCACUAGUCGAGUCGGCCUGCGCGGAAGAUGUAACGGGGCUCAAACCACACACCGAAGCUGCGGGUGUCACGCAAGUGACGCGGUAGAGGAGCGUUCUGUAAGCCUGUGAAGGUGAGUUGAGAAGCUUGCUGGAGGUAUCAGAAGUGCGAAUGCUGACAUGAGUAACGACAAUGGGUGUGAAAAACACCCACGCCGAAAGACCAAGGGUUCCUGCGCAACGUUAAUCGACGCAGGGUUAGUCGGUUCCUAAGGCGAGGCUGAAAAGCGUAGUCGAUGGGAAACAGGUUAAUAUUCCUGUACUUCUGGUUACUGCGAUGGAGGGACGGAGAAGGCNCGGAGAAGGCUAGGCCAGCUUGGCGUUGGUUGUCCAAGUUUAAGGUGGUAGGCUGAAAUCUUAGGUAAAUCCGGGGUUUCAAGGCCGAGAGCUGAUGACGAGUCGUCUUUUAGAUGACGAAGUGGUUGAUGCCAUGCUUCCAAGAAAAGCUUCUAAGCUUCAGGUAACCAGGAACCGUACCCCAAACCGACACAGGUGGUCGGGUAGAGAAUACCAAGGCGCUUGAGAGAACUCGGGUGAAGGAACUAGGCAAAAUGGCACCGUAACUUCGGGAGAAGGUGCGCCGGCUAGGGUGAAGGAUUUACUCCGUAAGCUCUGGCUGGUCGAAGAUACCAGGCCGCUGCGACUGUUUAUUAAAAACACAGCACUCUGCAAACACGAAAGUGGACGUAUAGGGUGUGACGCCUGCCCGGUGCCGGAAGGUUAAUUGAUGGGGUUAGCGCAAGCGAAGCUCUUGAUCGAAGCCCCGGUAAACGGCGGCCGUAACUAUAACGGUCCUAAGGUAGCGAAAUUCCUUGUCGGGUAAGUUCCGACCUGCACGAAUGGCGUAACGAUGGCGGCGCUGUCUCCACCCGAGACUCAGUGAAAUUGAAAUCGCUGUGAAGAUGCAGUGUAUCCGCGGCUAGACGGAAAGACCCCGUGAACCUUUACUGUAGCUUUGCACUGGACUUUGAGCCUGCUUGUGUAGGAUAGGUGGGAGGCUUUGAAGCGUGGACGCCAGUUCGCGUGGAGCCAUCCUUGAAAUACCACCCUGGCAUGCUUGAGGUUCUAACUCUGGUCCGUGAUCCGGAUCGAGGACAGUGUAUGGUGGGCAGUUUGACUGGGGCGGUCUCCUCCUAAAGAGUAACGGAGGAGUACGAAGGUGCGCUCAGACCGGUCGGAAAUCGGUCGCAGAGUAUAAAGGCAAAAGCGCGCUUGACUGCGAGACAGACACGUCGAGCAGGUACGAAAGUAGGUCUUAGUGAUCCGGUGGUUCUGUAUGGAAGGGCCAUCGCUCAACGGAUAAAAGGUACUCCGGGGAUAACAGGCUGAUACCGCCCAAGAGUUCAUAUCGACGGCGGUGUUUGGCACCUCGAUGUCGGCUCAUCACAUCCUGGGGCUGAAGCCGGUCCCAAGGGUAUGGCUGUUCGCCAUUUAAAGUGGUACGCGAGCUGGGUUUAGAACGUCGUGAGACAGUUCGGUCUCUAUCUGCCGUGGACGUUUGAGAUUUGAGAGGGGCUGCUCCUAGUACGAGAGGACCGGAGUGGACGAACCUCUGGUGUUCCGGUUGUCACGCCAGUGGCAUUGCCGGGUAGCUAUGUUCGGAAAAGAUAACCGCUGAAAGCAUCUAAGCGGGAAACUUGCCUCAAGAUGAGAUCUCACUGGGAACUUGAUUCCCCUGAAGGGCCGUCGAAGACUACGACGUUGAUAGGCUGGGUGUGUAAGCGUUGUGAGGCGUUGAGCUAACCAGUACUAAUUGCCCGUGAGGCUUGACCAUAUAACACCCAAACA